AUUUUAUAGUUGUGAGCAGUUAAAUAAGUGAAGUUGAUACGUGUACAUCUAUACGGUAUGAGUACUCCCGUAUAUUUGUUGACGGUUUUAUUAUGGAUUAACCUAGUCCAAGCUGAUGUGUUUUUUCAUCAUGGCGAUACUCAAGUACGCUAUGUGACCAAGGUCAAGAAUGGCGACGUGGAUAAAAGAGAGGAGUGUAAUUGUUAUUGCAAACGGAAAUGGGGAACGGAUUCAUGGGAUUGCUGUACAUGCGGCUGGGCAGAUAAUAUCUGUUUUCCUGGUGACGUCAGUUUAACCCUGGAAUCGGGCAAGGUCAUUGCCAUGGAGAAAUUGAAACAGGGACACCGAGUUUUAGCGGUAACGGAAGAAGGUAAACUUGUGUUUAGUGAAGUGAAGACGUUCCUCAAACGUUAUCCAGACAAUAUGGCCGUCUACUUAGAUUUGAUAACAGAAGAUGAGCAGACGAUAUCGCUCUCGGAAAGUCACGUGAUAUUUAGUUCUACUACCAAUAAUACUAAAGAAAUGAUUCCAAAUUUUGCUGGAAGAGUAAAUAUAGGUGAUUAUUUAUUCACUACAGAUAACUGUAAAAUUGAGAUAUGUCCAGUUAAAGUUAAAAGAAUUACACACAACGUUAGAAAAGGUGUCUACGUUCCCCUUACAGAUGAAGGCACGGUGGUUGUAAACAAAAUGGCGGCGUCUUGUUACAGCUCCAUCAAUCACCACCUGGCUCACCUGUUCAUGACACCAAUCAGAAGAUAUCCAUGGCUGUUAGGAGAUUAUCAACAACAAGGCUAUAGUCCAUUUAUAAGUUUCUUAAAGGACUUGGGUCACUGGAUUCUACCAAAUAAUAUGCAAUUUGAUUUAAGCAAAGAAGGAUUCAUGGCUGCCAGAACUCAAACUGAGCUAUAAGCUAUAAGCAUCGUGUAUUUCCAGCGCUAAAAACCCCGUUCUAAACUAUACCAAAUCCCUAGUGAUAAGUUCAAUAAAAUUUAAACUGAAAACAAAUUCUAAGACUUUUCUGAAUUAUAAGAGUAUACAUUACAAGGCUAUCAUCCCUUGUAUACUUGAAAUAUCUUUCAACAAUUCCAUGCAUACAUCUUUAAAAUGAUGCUAAAUAUAAAGUUACUUCUAAUUCUAA